CUUACAGGGAAACAUUAAAUUAUCUAUAAUAGUAAUCCGUCCCCAUUAUCCUAGAACGUCUUUUUAAUAUAUUUCGUACAUUUUUCCGUUUUUUUUCGGCUUUUUAAAUUUGAUGAGAAAAUUCUUAAGAAAAUUAAAAAUUACCUUUUUCAAGUUACCUCCCCACACCGAUUUCCUUUCAGAAAAAGUGUUUCACUUAGAAAUCUGAGCAAGUCUAG